rnacentral:rRNA from 1 species
UGGGGAAUAUUGCACAAUGGGCGCAAGCCUGAUGCAGCAACGCCGCGUGAACGAUGAAGGUCUUCGGAUCGUAAAGUUCUGUUGCAGGGGAAGAUAAUGACGGUACCCUGUGAGGAAGCCCCGGCUAACUACGUGCCAGCAGCCGCGGUAAUACGUAGGGGGCUAGCGUUAUCCGGAUUUACUGGGCGUAAAGGGUGCGUAGGUGGUCUUUCAAGUCGGUGGUUAAAGGCUACGGCUCAACCGUAGUUAGCCUCCGAAACUGGAAGACUUGAGUGCAGGAGAGGAAAGUGGAAUUCCCAGUGUAGCGGUGAAAUGCGUAGAUAUUGGGAAGAACACCAGUAGCGAAGGCGGCUUUCUGGACUGCAACUGAAACUGAGGAACGAAAGCGUGGGUAGCAAACAGG